rnacentral:rRNA from 1 species
CCGGUGAAGCGCUCGGAUCGCGGCGACGAGGGCGGUCCCCCGCCCGCGACGUCGCGAGAAGUCCGUUGAACCUUAUCAUUUAGAGGAAGGAGAAGUCGUAACAAGGUUUCCGUAGGUGAA